rnacentral:lncRNA from 10 species
GGGUCUCACUCUGUCACCUAGGCUGGAGUUCAGAGGCAUGAUCUCGGCUCACUGCAACCUCUGCCUCCCAGGCUCAAGUGCUCCUCCCACCUCAGCCUCAGAAGUAGUUGGAAAUACAAGUGUGUGCCACAGACACCCAGCUAAUUGUCAUCUACCCGCCUCAGCUUCCCAAACUGUUUGGAUUACAGGUAUGAGCCACUGUGCCCAGCAGAAAUUACAUUUACAAAUUAAUAUGAAGACAUGGUGAUAACUAACAUAUUUAUAACAUGAAAUCUGCUCAUCCAGGAACAUAGAAUGCAAAUCUUUCAUUCCACUCAGCAAAAUUUUGUCCUGUCCUUGAUAAAAGUCCUGCACAUCUAAGUUUAUUCCUAGGUAUUUAAUUUUUGCUGAAAUACCUGAAAAAAUACUUCAUCACUAUAUCUUCUACGUGAUUAUAGCUAACACUGGGGAAGGCUAUUGAUUUUUAUAUAAAAGAACUUUUAACCAGUAAUCUUAAAAAUUGUUUUUCUCAGUUGGUUCCUUUGGAUAUUUUUAGGUAAACAAUCAUGUCAACUGAAAAUAAUGAUAAAUUUUCUAUAAAGACUAUGACAUCACAGGAAAAUACAGUAAAUACUUUUUAAAAGAAUAUAAAAGGGCCAGGCACAGUGGCUCACGCCUGUAAUCCCAGCACUUUGGGAGGCCAAGGUGGGCAGACCAUGAGGUCAGGAGAUCGAGACCAUCCUGGCUAACACGGUGAAACCCCAUCUCUACUAAAAAAUACAAAAAAUUAGCCGGGAAUGGUGGCGGGCGCCUGUAGUCCCAGCUACUGGGGAGGCUGAGGCAGGAGAAUGGUGGGAACCCAGGAGGUGGAGCUUGCAGUGAGCCGAGAUCACGGCACUGCACUCCAGC